rnacentral:tRNA from 1 species
CGCGGGGUAGAGCAGAGGCAGCUCGCCAGGGUCAUAGCCUGGAGGUCGGUGGUUCAAAUCCAACCCCCGCUAC